GAGCGUGUGGCGCAGUGGCAGCGCAUUUCGUUUGCAUUAAUCUGAGGGAGGGGAGACCUGGUGGUUUCCCCUCCCAAGAUUAAGUCGAAGAGGUCAUCGGUUCGAUCCCGAUCUCGUCCA